rnacentral:rRNA from 1 species
GCUCAGAUUGAACGCUGGCGGCAGGCUUAACACAUGCAAGUCGAACGGUAACAUAAAGAAGCUUGCUUCUUUGAUGACGAGUGGCGGACGGGUGAGUAAUGCUUGGGAAUCUAGCUUAUGGAGGGGGAUAACUACGGGAAACUGUAGCUAAUACCGCGUAGAAUCGAGAGAUGAAAGUGUGGGACCUUCGGGCCACAUGCCAUAGGAUGAGCCCAAGUGGGAUUAGGUAGUUGGUGAGGUAAAGGCUCACCAAGCCGACGAUCUCUAGCUGGUCUGAGAGGAUGACCAGCCACACUGGGACUGAGACACGGCCCAGACUCCUACGGGAGGCAGCAGUA